rnacentral:tRNA from 1 species
GGAUUGUGGCUCAGCGGUAGACCACUUGCCUAGCAUGUGCAAGGCCCUGGGUUCCAUCCUCAGCACCA